GAACCUCAAAACAACGAAAGCCCUACCUCUCUUCCGUCCUUACGGCUCCGAUGACCGCGCCAGUGUGAAUCGGGUAAAUCAAAACGCU
rnacentral:sRNA from 1 species